rnacentral:rRNA from 1 species
GAAUGACUCUCGGCAACGGAUAUCUCGGCUCUCGCAUCGAUGAAGAACGUAGCGAAAUGCGAUACUUGGUGUGAAUUGCAGAAUCCCGUGAACCAUCGAGUCUUUGAACGCAAGUUGCGCCCGAUGCCUUCUGGCCGAGGGCACGUCUGCCUGGGCGUCACGC